rfam:Myotis lucifugus cont2.35273, whole genome shotgun sequence.
GCGUAAGAGUCCGGGCGGUCCAAUGUGUAUGGGGAAGAGGGCGGAGCUAGAGCGGCCUGGACUACCAUUAGGUAUAGUCGGAGACUACAUUUCCCAUGCUGCGCCGGGAACCGGAAGCACCUCGGCGCCAGUGCGCAGGCGCAAAAAGCCCCCUCUGGUUAUAUAAGAGAGAU